rnacentral:lncRNA from 10 species
CCUGGACUCAAGCGAUUCUCUUCAGCUCCCCCAAGUAGCUGGGACUACAGGAGCAUGCCACCACAUCUGGCUAAUUUUGUUUCUACUUUUUAUUUUUGUAGAGGCUUGGUCUUAUUAUAUUGCCCAAGCUGGUUUCGAACUCCUGGGCUCAAGCAAUCCUCCUCGGCCUCCCAAAGUGCUGGGAUUACAGGCGUGAGCCACUGCUCCUGGUCCUAAAAUAGCUUUUAGGCGGAAAAACAGCAAUGGAAAUUUGUUGAGUCCUAUGAUGUUGCUGGUUUUAUAGGAUCUCAUCCAGGAUGCCACAUUACAUGUC